rnacentral:rRNA from 1 species
UUUUGGCCAAUGGGGGCAACCCUGAUCCAGCAAUGCCGCGUGAGUGAAGAAGGCCUUCGGGUUGUAAAGCUCUUUUGUCAGGGAAGAAACACCGGCUCUAACCCAGUCCGGGAAUGACGGUACCUGAAGAAUAAGCACCGGCUAACUACGUGCCAGCAGCCGCGGUAAUACGUAGGGUGCAAGCGUUAAUCGGAAUUACUGGGCGUAAAGCGUGCGCAGGCGGUUAUACAAGACAGGCGUGAAAUCCCCGGGCUUAACCUGGGAAUGGCGCCUGUGACUGUAUGGCUAGAGUGUGUCAGAGGGGGGUAGAAUUCCACGUGUAGCAGUGAAAUGCGUAGAUAUGUGGAGGAAUACCAAUGGCGAAGGCAGCCCCCUGGGAUAACACUGACGCUCAUGCACGAA